GAAAAGAUGAGAGUCACCAGUCAGACACGGAAGAAGCAGGAUGGGCAGUACAGAGUAAAGGGUCUCACUAUUUUGCCAAGGCUGGUUCUCAACUUCCCAACAGCAGGUGCAGACUGGCACUUUAAUGGCAUUCCUCUCCAACCACCACUUUAUGGUGGUGAUCUCUAACUCUACCCUAAAUAAUCACAACCAUCAACUAAUGUCCCCGAACUCUCUGACUGUUUCAAUUAUAAAAUAAGGAACAUA